UACGAAGGGGGCUAGCGUUGCUCGGAAUCACUGGGCGUAAAGGGUGCGUAGGCGGGUCUUUAAGUCAGGGGUGAAAUCCUGGAGCUCAACUCCAGAACUGCCUUUGAUACUGAAGAUCUUGAGUUCGGGAGAGGUGAGUGGAACUGCGAGUGUAGAGGUGAAAUUCGUAGAUAUUCGCAAGAACACCAGUGGCGAAGGCGGCUCACUGGCCCGAUACUGACGCUGAGGCACGAAGGCCGAGGGAGCAACGGGG
rnacentral:rRNA from 1 species